CGAACAUGGCCCCUCUGCCGUGCUUCCUGCUGACCUGGGGACCCUCUGGGGCCUUCACGCCAGUGUUGGGGAUUUCCCUGAAAGGAACCACAGAUCCCCGGACCAACUCGGGACCUCGCACACUUACAGUUCACAGCUUGUUCUGGCACCUGGUGCGUGGAUGGUACUGUCUGCCCUCGGAGGACCUUUUGGAGAGGGGAGAAGAAAAAGAAAACAGGCCCGUUCAGCUUAUCUGAAGGUUGUGCAGUAUCCGGAAUACUUGGACCUUGGCACAUACAUGUGUCAAGCAUUUGGAGAACCACUGCUCUAUUCGUUGUAUGCUGUCCUGGUACACAAAGGUUUCGGCCCUCGGCAGGACACUACUACUGCUUCAUAAAGAUAUAAGUCAACUUUGUUUCCAGCAGUAUAAAUAUCAGUGCCGAUGAAGAGAAAGGGUGAUGCAGGUGCUCCUGGCAAGCACUGUUCUUAGGGAAAAUUCUCAGGGGGUACUUGUUUUGAUUUGUGUUUGUGUGUUGUGUCCUUCAGCAGUGUCCUGUCUGUGUUUUUUUUUCCUAAACUCUGCAGUUCAUCCAAAGAUGGUGUUGGCUUUCUUUGCAGGCCGACCUCAGGCAUUUGUAGGAGGUGAAC